AAGCUCGUAGUUGAAUUUCGGGGUUCUACCGUUGGUCGGGCUAACCAGUCUGUACUAGCGUGUAGAAUUCCUACCUUCUGGGGAACCAUCAUGUUAUUAAUUUAGCGUGGUGGGAAACCAGGACCUUUACCUUGAAAAAAAUUAGAGUGUUCAAAGCAGGCUUACGUCUGAAUACAUUAGCAUGGAAUAAUAAAAUAGGACGGUGGUCCUGUUUUGUUGGUUUCUGAAUCACCGUAAUGAUUAAUAGGGAUAGUUGGG
rnacentral:rRNA from 1 species